rnacentral:rRNA from 1 species
AACGAACGCUGGCGGCAGGCUUAACACAUGCAAGUCGAACGCCCCGCAAGGGGAGUGGCAGACGGGUGAGUAACGCGUGGGAAUCUACCCAGUUCUACGGAACAACUGAGGGAAACUUCAGCUAAUACCGUAUACGCCCUACGGGGGAAAGAUUUAUCGGAAUUGGAUGAGCCCGCGUUGGAUUAGCUAGUUGGUGGGGUAAUGGCCUACCAAGGCGACGAUCCAUAGCUGGUCUGAGAGGAUGAUCAGCCACACUGGGACUGAGACACGGCCCAGACUCCUACGGGAGGCAGCAGUGGGGAAUAUUGGACAAUGGGCGCAAGCCUGAUCCAGCCAUGCCGCGUGAGUGAUGAAGGCCUUAGGGUUGUAAAGCUCUUUCAGUGGGGACGAUAAUGACGGUACCCACAGAAGAAGCCCCGGCUAACUUCGUGCCAGCAGCCGCGGUAAAAC